CGGAAAUGGAGAUGCGAGAUAUGGCAACAGUUGGCGGCAGGAUCGGGUCGGGUCGGGUCGGUUUGGACUGAACUGCUGAUUCAUGAGUGGGCCGGAUGCAGGGCAGAGCAAAAAUAAAUAAGUAUGAAAGA